AUGUUCUCUUUUCAUUUAGUUAAAAAUUUAAAAUAUACCUUUUUUUUUUUGAAGGAAAGUAUUAUACUAUAUAUUAUUAUUAAUAUUUAAUUAUUAACUUCUUAAUAAAAAAUUAUUGUUGAUUCAUUCUCUAUAUGUCAAAAUAAAUAAGAAACCGCAUGCUUUCUUUUUAUGAAGGGAAGCAGCAUGUUCUUUACUAGCUAAUAGUCCACAUCGGAGGAUUUGCUAGCAUAGACGGGUAAGGUACAUUAUAAAUAAACCUUCAACAAAAUUUCAAGGCACAGCUAACCAUUCUGCUUAGAAUCGAUGGAUUCAGUGUCAUUUCACUAUUUCCAAUGUGAUUUGCACUUUUAAGUGUGAUUUACACUUUUAAUUUCCUGUUUUCUGCGAACUCUGAGUAAAUUCAGAGGGAGCCGGUUCGCAAAAGAACUGCGAAUUGGUUUGCACGAACCGGUUUGUGGUUCAGUGAGUUCUGAGCGAAUUAUGUUACUGUGGUUAAAAGACUUUCUUUUUUGUUGUAGUUUUUAUGGGUUGUGUUCUUGGUUGCAUAUGUAUCGUACCUCUUAGAUGUAAUCUUUUCUCUUCGAUAAAUAUUAAAGUGU
rnacentral:lncRNA from 1 species